AUCUUAGUGCCCCUUUCACAAUAGCAACAAGACACAACAGGAAGCAAACGUCUAGAGCCGGUCCAUCCGCGCCAGGCUCAGCGUUUCUCACGGCAUCGCUCUGACAAAAAGGUUGAUGGAAAGGAAAGAAAGAGCAACUCUAAAGGAGAGAGAAGAUAGUUCAGCCUUUCCUUGCCUGUUAAUUCCUUCCCGAAUGGAGGCUCCUCUGUCCAUGGGAUUCUCCAAGCAAGAACACUGGAGUGGGUUGCCAUUCCCUCCUCCAGGGGAUUUUCCUGACCCAGAGAUGGAACCCGCAUAUCCUGUGACUCCUGCAGGCAGAUUCUUUAUCACUGAGCCACCCAGAAGCCCAUGACUACAUCAGAGGGCCCUGCAAGUUUAUAACAUGGAGAACUACAUUCCAUUGAAUGAAAACCAGAGAGCAGAACCAGACACAGAGCACAAUUAAAGGCCUUCCGAAGAACAAACGCUACAGAUGCAUAUCUACCCAUAUCACUCUAUGUACAGAAAGAAAACCAAGAAGAAUAAAGUGCUGGGGGAGUAGUGAGGAGGAGAGACUUUCGCAUUUGGCCCUCUUUUUGUAUUCUUCGUAUCUUUAAUUAAAUUAAUGUGUUACUUCUGUCAUUAAGAAAAAAUAAAACAUGAAAAGGAAAGAAAGUGAUCAGCGUGGCACUGUGUGCGCCAAGCAGUGUGGGAAAGAUGCCAAAUCACGUGGGGAAGGGAAGGGCUGGACUAGUUUGCGAUGGAGACUCUGCAGCUCCAGGGAGGUGAACACUUUGCUUUCUGUCGUGGUCAUCAGAAUAAGGUUAGCGAUUAGUGGCCACGUGAUCUUGUGCAAGGUCACCUCCAGGUGUGCUAUCCUGAGGUCGCAGCACUUCCUUAUUUAUAGCAUCACAGUGUUGUUUGUGUUGCUAUCACUGCACACCUGGGUCGAAACGCCUUACCUGUGGAGCUGGGAACUCAUGCCAAACAGCCAAGGAUCCAGGCGGUCCUGCCCCCCAUCACCCAGGGUUCUCUGACUGUAACUCGCUUGCACUGUGGCAAUCUUCAAGCCAAAUACUUGGAGGGCCUUUAUUCUUUGGUUUCUUCAACUGACACUUAGUGCAAAGCUAAAUAUUAGGUGGGUACAAAAGUAAUCGCAGUUUUUGUGUUGUUGAAAUUAGUCUUUGAUAUUGGAAUACAUUCUUAAAUAAAUGUGGUUAUGUUAUACAUCAUUUUCAUGCACAUUUCUUGCUUUGAAUAUUUUGCUAAUGUUUAAUUACUUGCUGUUUAUAUU